CGCUGCAGCAAAGCAUCACUAGUACUCCGGGCCGUGUGAAUAUGUCAACAUGAUCAGAGGGGAGGGAGCAGGCAGCGCCCGGGGAGGGCGGCCGGGAGUACCCGCCUCUAGAGGGGGGUGUUCGGGGCCGCCUCGCCCCCCGGCCACGGCCCCGGCGAGAUGGCAGGCUGGGCAUUUUCAGUGCUCGCUCCCUCCUCCAGCCGCCUGCCCCGGAUUAAGGCCAGUCCGCUGACACCGGCGCCGAGAGGGUUACGCUCCCACACCCCUCCUCUUCCAUGAGAGCCCACAACAGACUCCCGGCGGCUUCAAGAAGUUUGCCGCAAUUUGCCCCAACCGGGCCGCCGCUCUUCGCCGGGGACCAGGAGGUGCCCACGGGCUCCCGCGGGACAAGCUCAGCCGCUCCCAGCCCCGUCGCGCCCCGACCCCCGCGCCCACCCCGCCGGUGCGCGCCCUCGGCGCCGCAGCAGAGACGGGAGUCGCUGCCGCCCUCCGCGCCCGCCCCGCACCUUGCACCGCGCUCGGCACCCACCCGCGCAACGGCCCGCGGAGGAAAAUAAAAAUGUUUGCCGCUUAUGAUUUCCAAUUUCAGCGUCUGGCUAAUGGCGUGCAAACUUCCGCCAGUUCCGAGUGACCUCCCCGACGAAGCCCCCUGGAGACUCGUAUUAUGAAGGGAGGCUGCACUAAUCUAAGAUCAAAAGCGGGAAGGUGCGAACAGUCUUUGUCUCCCUUCGGCCGCCUCAUUCCCCCUUCUGUGUGUGAUAAAUCUACCCUGGCGCCGACUGCGCGCUGGAUGAUUAAUUUGCAAGCAAACAAAAGGGACCUGAUGGCCAGCCAUCUUAGUUAAAUAUUGGCCAGUGCUUCCAGCUACUUGUUAGCCGCCUCUUUGCCAGAAAUAAAUAAAUGAGCGAGGCGCAGAAAUAAGUAAGGAGAUCCGCAAAAAAUUAAUGACAAAGCGAAGGGGAAGAAGGGGGUGUACGGAAAAUGGAACAAAAAAAAAAAAAAAGAAAAAAGGAGAUGAGGGCGGCUGAUAGCGACGGGCCGGGAGCGGGGUGGAGGUGGGAUCGUGGGGGGAGGCAAGGGCGAUAUCUGCGAUAGCCGGCUGCCCCCGCGCCUCCCGGCCCGUCUGCAAGCUAGGCUCGCACCAAGGCCGACACUAUCUUGGCUCUUCAAAGAGGCAUGAAAGGUCUCCGCUGUCUCCCCGGAGAGCAGCCAGGCCGGGGCUCUCUAAUCUCAGAGCGCAAAGAGCUAAAGGCGGCUCCCACCUUCCCUCCCCAGCUCCCUGAUGCCGCCAUCCGCCAGCACCUCGCUGGGUUUCCCCUGGUUCAAUCCAGGCUGGAGGGAAAGCGGAGCUGGCCAGACCCUGGGUCUUUGGUGGUUGUGCGGCUGGGAGAGCUCUGCUUGCUCAGAUUUCACCCUCCUAAGCAACUUUUGGUGUUUGCACGUGAGCUCGGGGUGUGCAGUGAGCUUGCCCCGUGUGUGUGUGUGUGUGUUGGGAGGUGUGGGAGGUGUGGGCUCUGGUUCUCUCCCGGUGGCCUGAAGAGCCAGCUGGAGGAAGGAGGCAAGAGGAAAAUAAAGGCAGCCCAGUUUUUGGGCCCACACGUCUUCUCCCAGGCCUGCAGGAGCAGCUCCAAGGCGUGUGAGA